GUCGAAUGUAGAAAGAUUGAUUAUAAACGGGCAACCAAAGUAAGGAAAAAAUAUUCAUGCAGACAAUGAAAACAUGAUCAUGCUCAUACAUGUAACAUUCUCAAGUCCAAUAUAGUUUAAUUUUUUUUAUUACCAAGUACUAUUGAAACUUGAAUAAAGAAUGCAACAGUAAACACAAUUCAACUAGUUUGUCAUAUACCCAAGACAACAUAGGAACCAUCAUUAAAAAGGUAGACCAAAGAUAU